rnacentral:rRNA from 1 species
AAACCGUUACGGGGAAGCGGAUUGCGUUGGAUUGAUGGGCGCUUGUGUGUUCAGCCUUCGGGUGCAUUGGCACAAGUGCUUAUCCGCUGUGAGUUCUCGGGGGUCGAUUUU